rnacentral:tRNA from 1 species
CAAGUAAUAUUUUAAUAAGAAUAUUAAUUUUGGAGAUUAAAGGUAAAUUUUAUUUUUACUUGA